CAGCCGCCACGGUAAUACGAAGGGGGCUAGCGUUGUUCGGAAUUACUGGGCGUAAAGGGCGCGUAGGCGGCCAUUCAAGUUAGAUGUGAAAGCCCUGGGCUCAACCUAGGAAUUGCAUUUGAUACUGUUUGGCUUGAGUUCGGGAGAGGUGAGUGGAAUUCCCAGUGUAGAGGUGAAAUUCGUAGAUAUUGGGAAGAACACCAGUGGCGAAGGCGGCUCACUGGACCGACACUGACGCUGAGGCGCGAAAGCGUGGGGAGCAAACAGGAUUAGAGACCCCCGUAGUCCCUGUCUCUUAUAA
rnacentral:rRNA from 1 species